GAUGAAGAACGCAGCGAAAUGCGAUAAUUAAUGUGAAUUGCAGAAUUCCGUGAAUCAUCGAGUCUUUGAACGCACAUUGCGCCUCAUGGCAUUCCGUGAGGCAUGCCCAUCUCAGCGUUAGAAAAUAUUCUCAAAUUUUAGUUUUGUGCUAAAAUUUGGAUCAUGUCAAGGAAGCUAUUACUAUUAUUGUGAUCGCUCUUUGGAAAUUGAUAGGUCUUUGAGUUGCUACUCAUAGAACGUGAUGAAUCUUUCUUCGUUCUAUUGUAAUUCACUCUGGUAGUCCUAAAACUUGUAUGCCUGUGGCAUAUCUUGUAAUUUGACCUGAGAUUGGGUAGGGAUACCCGCUAAACUUAAGCAUAUCAUAAGCGGAGGA
rnacentral:misc_RNA from 1 species